rnacentral:rRNA from 1 species
UGUAUAGUGAUUGCUAAUUGUUUCAUUCCAAAAAAAAAAUGAAGCAGCCUCGAUUUGAUCGAAUAAAAUUCUGAGUAAAAUUAUGAUAAUGACAUUAUUUACUCAUGAGUCUUGACCAAAUUACGUGCCAGCAGUCGCGGUAAUACGUAAAAGACGAGUGUUAUUCAUCUUUAAUAGGUUUAAAGGGUACCUAAACGGCAAAUUAAGCCUUAGUUGGGACUGGUUUGCUAAAGUUACUUAUGAGGAAGUUUUAAUGUACUAAAGGUGAAGAGAUGAAAUUCUGUCAUACCUUUUUUCUAACGAAAAAUUUCGGCACAGGUAUAGGUGAAAACAUCUUCUUAUGGGAUAACUGACGUUGAGGGACGAAGGCUUUUUAUCGCGAACAGGAUUAAAUACCCUGGUAGUCAAAGCAAAAAAUGAUGAGUGUCAUAGAUUAAAUCUAGUUUAUUCUAUAAAUGAAAGUGUAAGCACUCCACCUCAAGAGUAAUUUGGCAACAUUGGAACUGAAAUCAUUAAACCGUGUCUGAAACCAGUAGUGAAGUAUGUUAUUUAAUUUGAUAAUCCGCAAAAAACCUUACCACAACUUGAAUGUUUAUUUACUUACUUUUAUUACAUGUUUUGUGAGCAAUCCUGUAUAUAAUUAGGGUUGCUCUUUAAGCAAUCAUGUUUAUAGAUGAAAUUAAAUAGGUACAAGUGUUGCACGGCUGUCUUCAGUUAAUGUCGUCAGACUAUGGUUAGCUCCAGUAAAUUAACGUAAACCCUUGCUCUAGUUUUAAG